GACGAACGCUGGCGGCGUGCUUAACACAUGCAAGUCGAACGGUAAGGCCCUUCGGGGUACACGAGUGGCGAACGGGUGAGUAACACGUGGGUGAUCUGCCCUGCCCUUCGGGAUAAGCCUGGGAAACUGGGUCUAAUACCGGAUAGGACCACUGCCUGCAUGGGUGGUGGUGGAAAGCUUUUGCGGUGUGGGGUGGGGCGGCGGCCUAUCAGCUUGUUGGUGGGGGGUUGGCCGACCAAGGCGACGACGGGUAGCCGGCCUGGGAGGGUGACCGGCCACACUGGGACUGAGAUACGGCCCAGACUCCUACGGGAGGCAGCAGUGGGGAAUAUUGCACAAGGGGCGCAAGCCGGAUGCAGCGACGCCGCGUGAGGGAUGACGGCCUUCGGGGUGUAAACCUCUUUCAGCACCGACGAAGCGCAAGUGACGGUAGGGGCAGAAGAAGGACCGGCCAACUACGUGCCAGCCGCCGCGGUAA
rnacentral:rRNA from 1 species